rnacentral:rRNA from 1 species
UACAGAGGGUGCGAGCGUUAAUCGGAAUUACUGGGCGUAAAGCGCGCGUAGGCGGCUUUGCAAGUCGGGUGUGAAAUCCCCAGGCUUAACCUGGGAACUGCAUUCGAGACUGCAUUGCUAGAGUAUGGGAGAGGGAAGUGGAAUUUCCGGUGUAGCGGUGAAAUGCGUAGAUAUCGGAAGGAACAUCAGUGGCGAAGGCGACUUCCCGGACCAAUACUGACGCUCAGGUGCGAAAGCGUGGGGAGCAAACAGG